rnacentral:tRNA from 1 species
GGCUCCAUAGCUCAGUGGCAGAGCGCGUCUCUCAUAAGGACGAGGUCCCGAGCUCAAUCCUCGGUGGAGCCA